UACGAAGGGGGCUAGCGUUGUUCGGAUUUACUGGGCGUAAAGCGCACGUAGGCGGAUUGUUAAGUCGGGGGUGAAAUCCUGGAGCUCAACUUCAGAAUUGCCUUCGAUACUGGCUUUCUAGAGGCUGGAAGAGGUUAGUGGAAUUCCCAGUGUAGAGGUGAAAUUCGUAGAUAUUGGGAAGAACACCAGUGGCGAAGGCGGCUAACUGGUCCAGAUCUGACGCUGAGGGACGAAAGCUAGGGGAGCGAAUGGG
rnacentral:rRNA from 1 species